rnacentral:rRNA from 1 species
GUAGGUGGCAAGCGUUGUCCGGAAUUAUUGGGCGUAAAGCGCGCGCAGGUGGUUCUUUAAGUCUGAUGUGAAAGCCCCCGGGCUCAACCGGGGAGGGUCAUUGGAAACUGGGGAACUUGAGUGCAGGAGAGGAAAGUGGAACUCCACGUGUAGCGGUGAAAUGCGUAGAUAUGUGGAGGAACACCAGUGGCGAAGGCGACUUUCUGGCCUGUAACUGACACUGAGGCGCGAAAGCGUGGGGAGCAAACAGGAUUAGAUACCCUGGUAGUCCACGCCGUAAACGAUGAGUGCUAAGUGUUGGGGGGUUUCCGCCCCUCAGUGCUGCAGCUAACGCAUUAAGCACUCCGCCUGGGGAGUACGGUCGCAAAGACUG